UUAAAAUUUAAUUCUAAUUUAGAAAUUUAUGCACCAAUUUUAUAAACAUGUAAAAAUAUACACAAUUUAUACUUAAAUAAAGAUUUAAAUCUUUUCCCCCAACAGUUUAAAAUUUUAGUAAAAAUUUUUCCAUUUAAAGAUCUAGUAAAAUACUUUAUCAUCAGCCCAACAUUGUGCCAGCCGCUGCGGUUAAACAAUAGAUGAAAAUAAAUUUUAUCGUAACCAGUAUUUAAAUAUCAAAAAAAAUUGAAAAUAAAAAUUAUAAACAAAGAGUAAAAUCUACAGUUUGUUUAAUAAAUCAAUAAAAUACUUCAAUAACUGAAUAAAAAUAAAUAAAACUAGGAUUAGAUACCCUAUUAUAAAAUUCAAACUUUCCCAAAAACAGGGUAGUAGAUAAUUCCAACUCAAAACCCAAAGAAUCUGGCGGUAACCUAACCAAUUAGAGGAACCUGUCUCAUAAUCGAUAAUCCACGAACAAUGCACUUUAUUUAUUACAUAGUUUGUAUACCAUCGUCACAAUAAAAUAUUUUAAAAUCAUUUUAAAGUCUCUCUAAAGAGAGAAGUCAGAUCAAGGUGCAGCUUUAAUAAAGAGAAGAUGGGUUACAAUAACACAAUUAUUACGGAAAUAGAAAAAGUAACCUUUUAUAUCGAAGUUAUGCACACAUCGCCCGUCACUCUCACAAUUUAACCUGAGAUAAGUCGUAACAAAGUAGGUGUACCGGAAGGUGUACCUAGAAAGAA
rnacentral:rRNA from 1 species